GCGUGACCCGACUAGACCGCGUCAAGUGACGCAGCGCAGCGAGGCGGCUUCCGCUCUCACCGGGUUUCACAAUAAAAGCACCAAUGGCCUCGUUCACAUUAAAGGCUGGCGCAUGCGUCUGCGUCGAUGCGUCGACCGACUCGUUUCGACCCUUUACUGAGGCAUCGAGGUCUGCUGCCGGCAGUUCUACAUCCUCCACCGCAAACCCUUUGUCCUGCAGCUGUUUGACAGCUCCACAGCUGGAAUUCACAACCAGCACCAGUCUGUUUGACCUGCUGAUCUCUCUAGAGGGGGAGACCAAGGACGCUGUGGACGCUCUGGAGCUUGUGAAGGCUCAGAAGCCUCUACGCUGACGCUCUUUAGGUGAACUGUCACUAGCACAUUCACGUUGUGGCAUUUUAUCUCUGGCUAUAUCCAAUACAGGGGACUUAACUCAGCCAAAGGCCAAGGUAAACAAGUGGGUCUUAAGGCGUGUUUUAAAAGUAGAAAGGCUCGUCGCAGACCGCACAGAAGACGACAAAGCAGUCCACAGUGUGGGGGCCGCUACUGCGAAGGCUCGAUCUCCUUUUCGUUUUAAGGAACGGCCGAGGAAUGUUCAGAAGCAACUGGUCAGCUGACCUCAGGGCUCUGGAGGGUUGAUGUACGUUAAUAAGGCUGGAUAAAUAUUCUGGGAGCAGGAUUCUUGUGACUGGCCCUGGUAGUCGGCUAGGGUUCAACACUGACCUCAGGGACAAGCUGCACCUGCUGGAGGAAGGCCAGGGCAUGCCGAGGGAGGAGCUGGAUGAGCGCAUCGCCAGGGAAGAGUUCCGGCGGCCCGGGGAAUCGCUGUUACAAACAUUGCGGGCCGCGACUCAAAAUCCUGCAGAACGUGGCCGGGGAGCCGCGGGUCACGGCACUGGAGCUGCUGGACAUCAAGUCCCACAUGAGGCUGGCGGAGAUCGCCCACGCCCUGCUGAAGUUGGCCCCCUACGACACCCUGACCAUGGAGAGCCGCGGGCUGCGGCGCUACAUCAUGGAGAUGCUUCCCAUCACCGACUGGUCGUCCGAGGCCGUCCGCCCCGCCCUCAUCCUCAUCCUCAAGAGGCCUCAAUCCUCAAUAUAAUCAUUAAUAAUAAUGCUGCGUCGCCCCCUGGUGUCCAUUCCAAAGAAUGAACCCCGAGGCCGAUCAGGAGCGAGGCUCUCCACCACGCGCAGAGGCAUCCAGCCCAAGAACAAACCACUGGGAAACGUUGUUGGACUGUGAAGGUGAGACACAACCCCUUAACCCUCACUCUCCACGUGCACGUGUAACGUUAGCUUACACGUGCACUGUGCUAACCCCCCUUCAACAGUUAACAUACAUCUUAACUUACACGGUGGUUCAGCUUUAUUAAUUAAUGACUUCUUACACUAACCCGCAGAACAAGUAGUUAUCUCGAGCAGCCUUGAUACUAAAAGAUAAAACUCUCUGUGUUGUCAGUAGCCGCCAACUCCCGCGCUGUAACUCCAAACCACACGUGGACUCGGUGCUAUCGCGAUGCUCCUGCUGAUGGUACUUAAAGUGACAGUACACCCUAAUUUGAAGCAGCAUCUGUUACUUCCCCAACCUUGCAUAUGAAAACCUCCCUGCCCCCACUUCACCCGGCCAGACAUGUUUUAACUCAUUUGAAGUUGCCGUUUCUAUCCAUCCUUAAAGAGGAUUUCCUCGUGUUGGACACUGGGGGGCGUCCUCUAUCUAUCACUUGGGAUGAUGUGUGGGGAUGAGUAUUUAUUGGGUUAAAAAAUCUAAACUGAAUCACGGGGAUACAGAGCAUGAUGCAACAUUUUGUGUAGUGUAUAUUAUGUCUGUAGUCUAAAGUAAGAUAAUAUCUUAUAGUAUCUAGUUCUAGCAAUUCAUUAAUAUCAUAAAAGAAACGAGUUUAACAGGUGGUUUAUUUAACAUGAUUUAUCCAUCCAUCCACCAGCAAACCGCUUAUCCACACAGGGUCGCGGGAGUCUAUCCCAGCCAACUUCAGGCAAAAGACGGGGUUCACCCUAGAGUGGUCGCCAGCCAAUCGCAGGGCUAACAAAGAGACAUACAACCAUUCACACAAUUUAGCAUCACCAAUUGAUCCCAACCUGAUCCCCAGGGCACAUCUUUGGACUGUGGGAGGAAGCCAGAGUACUCAGAGAGAACCCACGCAGACUCCACACAGACAGGCCACUGGGCGGAGUCCAACCCAGGACCUUCCUGAUGUGAGGGCGCAGUUUCCAGCGCUGAGGACGACAGGUUUCUUCUUCUGCUCUGCAGUUACUCUGAGAUGUAACUUUGACAGUGGGGAAAGCCCGGACGUCUCUACUGUACCGCGGCGAUGCACACUGAUGUCCUCGCUGUGGUGGGAUUCGAACCCGGGUGGACACCACCACCAUGUCAUUCCCCCUAUAACAUUCCUCUUUGUUGCCUUUUGACUUCUUCUGACUGAGCUAUUUGUUAACACCGCCUUCAUGCAGCUCUAAUAAAACAGAUAAAACAAAUAAACCUCUGAAAUAAACAUAAUUUCAAAAAUCUUCUCAAGAAGGAGACAUUGUUCUGCAAUUUAUAUAUUAAACAUUAAACAAGUGGUUGAAAACAUGAA